CACAACGCCUCCUUGCGCCUUUCCCCUCUUCCAAAACACUCUUUCCCUGUCGAGGCCAAGACCCUCUCCGGAACCUCAUUUUUAGUAGAGCAGAACCAGGGUCUGCGCCCCGUUGCGAAGGAUUGGGUGGAGCCUUCAGCAGGGAAAAAGAUGUCAGAUGAAGAGCUGGAAGACUUCGAGCCAGACCAGGAUGAUCUGGAAAAGGAAGACGAUGAGAAGGAGACAGAAGAGUGGGAGGACUCCAGGAAGGAGGGAGAAGAGUACUCAGAGGAAUGGAUGCCCACCCCCCUCACGGAGGACAUGAUGAAGGAAGGGCUUUCUUUGCUCUGUAAGACGGGCAAUGGACUGGCUCACGCUUAUGUCAAGCUGGAGGUUAAAGAGAGGGACCUGACAGACAUCUACUUGUUGCGGUCCUACAUCCAUCUGCGCUAUGUGGAUGUUUCUGAGAACCACCUGACAGACUUGUCCCCACUCAAUUACCUUACCCACCUGCUCUGGCUCAAGGCUGAUGGCAACAAUCUGCGGAGCGCCCACCUGAAUGAACUGCCCUACCUGCAGAUUGCCAGUUUUGCCUAUAACCAGAUCACUGACACUGAGGGCAUCUCUCACCCUCGUCUGGGCAGCCUGGAUCUCAAAGGGAACCGCAUCCACAGGGUGACUGGUCUGGACCCCCAAAAGCUGAUCAGCCUGCACACACUGGAGCUUCAGGGGAACCAGCUGGACAGCACCUUGGGAAUCAACCUUCCUAAGCUGAAGAACCUCUUCCUGGCCCAGAACAUGCUGAAGAAGGUGGAGGGCUUGGAGCACCUAAGCAAUCUCACUACGUUGCACCUUCGAGACAACCAGAUUGAAACUCUGAGUGGCUUCUCCAAGGAAAUGACAUCGCUGCAGUAUCUCAACCUGAGAGGCAACAUGGUGACCCACCUCGGGGAGCUAGCCAAGCUCCGGGACCUGCCCAAGCUGCGGGCCUUGGUGCUGUUGGACAACCCGUGCGCAGAUGAGAAUGACUACCGCCAGGAGGCCCUGGUGCAGAUGGCACACCUCGAGCGCCUGGAUAAGGAUUUCUACGAGGAGGAGGAGCGGGCCGAAGCUGAUGAGAUCCGUCAGAGGUUGAAGGAGGCCCAGGAGCAGGAGGCUGAGGCUGAGCGCGACUCCAAACUGGAGCUGCCAUCCAUGUAGCUCUUUGAGCCUCCGGGGACAGAGAUCAAAGACACUGGCCCCAAGACCUGAGAAGACAUCCAGGUAGUGGUGCUGCCACAUUCACAUCCCUCAUCCUGAGUCAGAGCAUGCCUUCUCUUGCCCCAGACCUGGGAAUUCAUCACAACCUGCCGCCCAGGCUCUGUAAUGGGCACCUGGGCAGCGUCUGGGUGGGCCUGAGCCCUGCCUGGAACCUGGGUGUGUGUGUGUGUGUGUGUGUGUGUGUGUGUGUGUGUGUGUGUGUGUGUGUGUGUGUGUGUGUGUGUGUGUGUGUGACGUGGCUGGAGGUCGGAGAUGGCCUGGGGCUGGGAGCUCUUGCUGGAACAGGAAGGGUAACAGAAAAGGGCCUUGCCCAUCAGCUCCCUUGCGUCUACCAGCCCUUAACCGAAGCCGCUCGGUCCAGAGGCGGGGCUGUGUGCCCGGGGACGCUUCCCCCUAACUCUCUCCUCAGCCCCCGGCUCCCCUGUUCUUGCUCCAGCUGCGCCAGAGCAAUGGCUCACUCCCCUGUGCCACAUUCCACAGUUGCCACCCCCUCUGUGGCGUGGAAAUGAGCACCACCAUUAAAGUCUGAAUCACAGUU